AGCCAGUGUGGCCUAGUGGUUAGAGUGUCUGGGAGACUGGGACCUAGGAGACCAGGGUUCAAAUCCCUACUUGGCCA